rnacentral:rRNA from 1 species
AGAGUUUGAUCCUGGCUCAGAGUGAACGCUGGCGGCGUGGUUUAGGCAUGCAAGUCGUGCGAUCACGCAAGGGAUAGCGGCAAACGGGUGAGUAACACGUGAAUAAUCUUCCUUAAAGUCGGACAUAGCAUCGUGAAAACGGUGGUAAUUUCCGAUGUUGUCAUCAAACCGCAUGGUGUGAUGACCAAAGGUGGGGACCUUCGGGCCUACCGCUUUAAGAUGAAUUCGCGUCCUAUCAGCUAGUUGGCGGGGUAAUGGCCCACCAAGGCGUAUGACGGGUAGCCGGUCUGUGAGGAUGGUCAGCCACACUGGGACUGAGACACUGCCCAGACUCCUACGGGAGGCUGCAGUCGAGAAUCUUUAGCAAUGGACGAAAGUCUGACUAUGCGACGCCGCGUGCAGGAUGAAGGUCUUCGGAUUGUAAACUGCUUUUAUCAGGGAAGAAACUACCGACGCUAACAUCGUCGGAACUGACGGUACCUGAGGAAUAAGCCACGGCCAACUCCGUGCCAGCAGCCGCGGUAAUACGGAGGUGGCGAGCGUUACUCGGAAUCAUUGGGUGUAAAGGGCAGGUAGGCGGUCUGUUAAGUGAGGGGUGAAAUCUCCCGGCUCAAUCGGGAAACUGCCUUUCAAACUGGCAGACUUGAGUGUGAUAGGGGGAAGCGGAAUUAGCAGUGUAAGGGUGAAAUCUGUAGAUAUUGCUAAGAACACCAGCGGCGAAGGCGGCUUCCUGGAUCACAACUGACGCUGAUCUGCGAAAGCUAGGGGAGCAAACAGAAUUAGACACUCUGGUAGUCCUAGCCGUAAACGAUGAGUACUAGGUGUUGGACCGUGAGGUUCAGUGCCGCAGCUAACGCAUUAAGUACUCCACCUGAGGACUACGACCGCAAGGUUAAAACUCAAAGGAAUUGACGGGGACCCGCACAAGCGGUGGAACAUGUGGUUCAAUUCGAUGCUACGCGAAGAACCUCACCCAGGCUUGACAUGCAAGAAGUAGUGAACUGAAAGGGGAACGACCUGUUAAAUCAGGAGCUUGCACAGGUGCUGCAUGGCUGUCGUCAGCUCGUGUCGUGAGAUGUUGGGUUAAGUCCCGCAACGAGCGCAACCAUUGCCCUAUGUUGCUAAUUUACUGGCCUCACGGUUGGUAGAUGCACUCUUAGGGGACCGCCUGGGAUAACCAGGAGGAACGUGGAGAUGACGUCAAGUCGGUACGGCCUUUAUGCCUGGGGCUACACACGUGUUACAAUGUCCAGUACAAAGGGUUGCCAACCCGCGAGGGGGAGCCAAUCUCAAAAAACUGGGCCCAG